rnacentral:rRNA from 1 species
UACGUAGGGGGCGAGCGUUGUCCGAAGUUACUGGGCGUAAAGCGCGCGUAGGCGGCGCGGUAUGUCGUGCGUGAAAUCUCCCGGCUUAACUGGGAGGGGCCGUGCGAAACUGCCGGGCUUGAGGUCGGAAGGGGAAAGUGGAAUUCCGGGUGUAGUGGUGGAAUACGUAGAUAUCCGGAGGAACACCAGCGGCGAAGGCGGCUUUCUGGUCCGAUACUGACGCUGAGGUGCGAAAGCGUGGGGAGCGAUCCGG